rnacentral:rRNA from 1 species
AUUGGAGGGCAAGUCUGGUGCCAGCAGCCGCGGUAAUUCCAGCUCCAAUAGUGUAUAUUAAAGUUGCUGUGAUUAAAACGCUCGUAGUUGAAUUAUAAAGCGCUUAGCAUAUGGGUGCUCCGCUUGCGGGGAGGAAGUAUGCAUCAAAUGGCGCGGAGGCGAUGCUGGUUUACGCCAGUGUCAUUACUUUGAAAAAAAUAGGGUGUUCAAAGCAAAUCUUAUGUUAAUGAAUAAUGAAGCAUGGGACAAUAUUGAGGAGAUCCUUCGGGAUUUCGGGAUAAGGAUUAAGAGGAACAAUUGGGGUGAUUCAGAAAAUGACGGGAGAGGUAAAAUUCCAUGAUCGCCAUAAGAUGCACGAGAGCGAAAGCAUUUCACUCAAUUGCGUUCAUUAAUCAAGAACGAAAGUUAGGGGAUCGAAGACGAUUAGAUACCGUCGUAGUCCUAACUAUAAACGAUGUCAACCAAGGAUUGGAUUAGUUUAAGAGUGACAGAAGUCCGGUAACGCUGUUAUUGGGCAGACGGAUCUCGCUUCCACCUUAUUCAGAACUUAAAGAGAAAUCUUGAGUUUAUGGACUUCA